rnacentral:rRNA from 1 species
UACGUAGGGUGCAAGCGUUAAUCGGAAUUACUGGGCGUAAAGCGUGCGCAGGCGGUUAUGUAAGACAGUUGUGAAAUCCCCGGGCUCAACCUGGGAACUGCAUCUGUGACUGCAUAGCUAGAGUACGGUAGAGGGGGAUGGAAUUCCGCGUGUAGCAGUGAAAUGCGUAGAUAUGCGGAGGAACACCGAUGGCGAAAGGCAAUCCCCUGGACCUGUACUGACGCUCAUGCACGAAAGCGUGGGGAGCAAACAGG